UACGGGGGGGGUAAGCGUUGUUCGGAUUUACUGGGCGUAAAGGGCGCGCAGGCGGUCGGACAAGUCGCGUGUGAAAGCCCCCGGCUCAACUGGGGAGGGUCACGCGAUACUGUUCGACUCGAAGGCAGGAGAGGGAAGUGGAAUUCCCGGUGUAGUGGUGAAAUGCGUAGAUAUCGGGAGGAACACCAGUGGCGAAGGCGACUUCCUGGCCUGUUCUUGACGCUGAGGCGCGAAAGCUAGGGUAGCAAACGGG
rnacentral:rRNA from 1 species